CGCGGUAAUUCCAGCUCCAAUAGCGUAUAUUUAAGUUGUUGCAGUUAAAAAGCUCGUAGUUGAAGUUCUGUACGGAUUGAGUCUCUACGGAGACACAAGCCGUACAUCCGUCUGAUUCUUCAGACACUUUACCUUGAGCAAAUUAGAGUGUUCCAGGCAGGCGCCAGCCUGAAUAGUCCAGCAUGGAAUAAUAGAAAAGGACGAAGAGCCACUGUUGGUGCGUGGCCCUUAGUAAUGAUUAAUAGGGAUAGUUGGGGGCAUUCGUAUUUAACUGUCAGAGGUGAAAUUCUUGGAUUUGUUAAAGACG
rnacentral:rRNA from 14 species